rnacentral:rRNA from 1 species
GACGAACGCUGGCGGCGUGCUUAACACAUGCAAGUCGAACGGAAAGGCCCUGCUUGCAGGGUACUCGAGUGGCGAACGGGUGAGUAACACGUGGGUGAUCUGCCCUGCACUUCGGGAUAAGCCUGGGAAACUGGGUCUAAUACCGGAUAGGAGCCAUUUUUAGUGUGAUGGUUGGAAAGUUUUUUCGGUGUAGGAUGAGCUCGCGGCCUAUCAGCUUGUUGGUGGGGUAAUGGCCUACCAAGGCGGCGACGGGUAGCCGGCCUGAGAGGGUGGACGGCCACAUUGGGACUGAGAUACGGCCCAGACGCCUACGGGAGGAAGCAGUGGGGAAUAUUGCACAAUGGGCGCAAGCCUGAUGCAGCGACGCCGCGUGGGGGAUGACGGCCUUCGGGUUGUAAACUCCUUUCGCUAGGGACGAAGCUUUUUGUGACGGUACCUAGAUAAGAAGCACCGGCUAACUACGUG